rnacentral:tRNA from 1 species
GUUGUAGCUCAGUCGGUUAGAGCGCUAGAUUGUGGUUCUAGAGGUCGUGGGUUCGAUCCCCAUCAUC